rnacentral:lncRNA from 1 species
UUUAAUAAUGGAAAUUGAUGUAAAAAUUAUCACUAGCCACUUUAAAACCAAUUGCCUCUGGUUUGGCUGUAGUUCCAGCAUCAGUAGUAUCUGGUUUGGCUGUAGUUCCAGCAUCGGUAAUUCCUGGUUUGGCUGUAGUUCCAGCAUCAGUAGUACCUGGUUUGGCUGUAGUUCCAGCAUCAGUAGUACCUGGUUUGGCUGUAGUUCCAGCAUCAGUAGUACAAGGGCCCAAAGGGGGGGGGGGGUGUGGGGGGGGUGGGGGGGGUUGUCGGAACUAGAAGCACAAGCAUUUCGCUACACUCGCAUUAACAUCUGCUAACCAUGUGUAUGUGACAAAUAACAUUUGAUUUGAUUUGAUUUGAUUUGAUUUGAUUUGAAGUGUAGCUACUGUCUUGGAAGGAACUAAUGGGGAUCCAUAAU